rnacentral:tRNA from 1 species
GCCUGGGUGGCUCAGUCGGUUGAGUGUCUGACUUUGGCUCAUAUCAUGAUCUCACAGUUUGUGAGUUCAAGCCCCAUGUCAGGCU